GGGGGUGAUCGGUUUCGACUUGGGGCGGUAGUCCCAGGGGAAGCGGGCCGAGGAUCCAAGGUCAACUCGUUGAUGCUCCUUGGAAAACAACAAGUGCCGACAACAAGCGCACUGACUUCGCUCUCGCUGCCUGAGCAGUGACCGAAGGGUCAACCCGGAGUUAGCCUUCGCUCCGGAUGUUGGCCUCGUCUAGAAGGCUUGCUGGCUGUCCUGCGUCACAGGGGACAGUCGGGACUCAACUGUGACUGGGCCCGGCUGCAACUUGCUGGUGUGAGUGCAGGGGCCGAGCAGACCGCCCAACCAGCUGCGCCCGGAGAAGUCCUGGUUCACCCUUCGAGGACGCGGGUUCGAUUCCCGCCACCUCCACCC
rnacentral:tmRNA from 1 species